ACCGCCCAAUCAGGCGCGCCGUGGGAGAGGAGAGGAAAGGAGGGCGCGGCUUUCGGCAUUUGGCGGGGUCUUUGUCUCUCGCUGGUGCUGGCACAGGAGCUUGGGAUCCAUCUCCUCUUUUGCCUCCUCCACCUUGGGAGCCCCGGGCUACUCUGUCACAGCCCCUGUUGCCCUGUGAUCUGUAGGUCCUUGGGGAAGCAUAGUUAAGGUGCCAGGACAUCUUGGAAGCUGGGAAAUGCAUUUCAUCAUAUCAAUGUGAAGAUUUCUUCCGGACCAUGGCUGGAGAAGUAAAGAACGUGUGUUUUGCCUGAUUCAGGGACUAUAGAGAGAACCAAGUUCUGCAGGCCUGUCACCUAAGUCUCAGCUGGGUGUCACAAUCUCUGAACUGGAUCCCAAGGCUUUCAUGAAUACACUUAUGUUUGCUGUGGCAGCUGCAUUAUGUUGUGGGGGAUGUGGAUGCCGAACCUCCCAUUCUGUCAUCUUGCUUAUGUUACUCUCCUUCAUGUUUCACUUUCUGAAAUGAAUGUCAAGCUGGUGAUUUUUAGAUUGAAAAAUUCUAAAAUAAAUUGCUCAAAUUUACACAUUAUGUAAGCUAUUAAUAAAAUGUCUUGUAGGUGCUACAUAUUUAUCAAAAUUUUUGGUUGUAAUUUUAAGCUCACUGUAGGCAGAAAGGAAUCAUGAACAUUUAUAUUCUUUUUUUAGUCUGUAUAUAAAUGAUGGUAUAUUUUAAUUCCAGAUAUUUACUUUAUACUUCGGUAAUGCUCAUCAUAUUUUGCAAAAUUUAUGUUGUUCUUUUGUUUGAAAAUAUAAGGCUUUUUUAGCUCCUGAAAUCUACAGUAUAGUCGUGUGGUUUUAUUAUAUUUUGUGGUAAGAAGAGCAGAAACAUAUUGAGAACAUAAGAAAAUUCUCCUGUCUUUUUAAUGAUUAUUUAUUAAACUCUUCUGAUUAGAGCCUGUUAUUAAUGAUUGCAAUGUAUUUUCUGUAUAAUUUUACUGCAAUUCAUUAAAUUCUAAUGACUUAAAUUGUCUGUUUUUCAUGAGUGCACACAGUUGAAUGCUGUAGAUAUCUAAAGAAUUAUUUUUCGGCUGGGCGUGGUGGCUCAUGCUUGUAAUCCCAGCACUUUGGGAGGCCAAGGUGGUUGGAUCACGAGGUCAGGAGAUCCAGACAACCCUGACUAACACGGUGAAACCCCAUCUCUACUAAAUAUACAAAAAGUUAGCUGGGCAUACUUGUGGGCGCCUGUAUUCCCAGCUACUCGGGAGGCUGAGGCAGGAGAAUGGCGUGAGCCCAGUGGGCAGAGCUUGCAGUGAGCCAAGAUCAUGCCACUGCACUCCAGCCUGGGUGACAGGGCAAGACUCUGUCUCAAAAAAAAAAAAAAAAAAGAGUUAUUUUUUCACUGUAAAUCUAUGUUGUAUUCAGGAUUUUAUGCAUUAAAAUCUCUGUUCUUAUUUUCA